UGAAUAUUCUCCAGUAGUGUUCACCAAGCGUUGGAUUGUUCACUCACCAAGAGGGAACAUGAGUUGGGUUCAGACCGUCAUGAGACAGGUU
rnacentral:ncRNA from 1 species